rnacentral:rRNA from 1 species
UACGUAGGGGGCAAGCGUUGUCCGGAUUUAUUGGGCGUAAAGAGCGUGUAGGCGGUUUGGUAGGUCCGUUGUGAAAACUCGAGGCUCAACCUCGAGACGCCGAUGGAAACCAUCAGACUAGAGUCCGGAAGAGGAGAGUGGAAUUCCUGGUGUAGCGGUGAAAUGCGUAGAUAUCUGGAGGAACACCGGUGGCGAAGGCGGCAUCCUGGACCGAUACUGACGCUGAUGAGCGAAAGCCAGGGGAGCAAACGGG